UACGAAGGGGGGCUAGCGUUGCUCGGAAUCACUGGGCGUAAAGGGUGCGUAGGCGGGUCUUUUAAGUCAGGGGUGAAAUCCUGGAGCUCAACUCCAGAACUGCCUUUGAUACUGAAGAUCUUGAGUUCGGGAGAGGUGAGUGGAACUGCGAGUGUAGAGGUGAAAUUCGUAGAUAUUCGCAAGAACACCAGUGGCGAAGGCGGCUCACUGGCCCGAUACUGACGCUGAGGCACGAAAGCGU
rnacentral:rRNA from 1 species